rnacentral:misc_RNA from 1 species
UUCUUCUUCAUUGCUUUCUUCCAAUGGUAAUGCUCAAAUAAAAAUGCCCAGUCAUGUCAACAGCACCCAUGUUGCAUUGAAAGUCCUCCUCACAUAACAAUUCAAAUCUUGAACUGAUUAAAGAGAUGACACAUGCAGGGAUUGAAAAAGGUAAGGACAGAGAAAGCGGCCGACCCGAUCCAUAUGUUGAUGAAGCGGUCUGGGUCCGCAUGCCCACUCCU